rnacentral:rRNA from 1 species
AUUGAACGCUAGCGGCAGGCUUAACACAUGCAAGUCGAACGAGUGGCGGACGGGUGAGUAAUGUUUGGGAACCUGGCCUAUGGCGGGGGAUAACUACGGGAAACUGUGGCUAAUACCGCGUACCAUUGGAUCGGCCCAAGUGGGAUUAGGUAGUUGGUGGGGUAAAGGCUCACCAAGGCGACGAUCCCUAGCUGGUGUGAGAGGAGGACCAGCCACACUGGGACGGAGACACGGCCCGGACUCCUACGGGAGGCAGCAGUGGGGAAUAUUGGGCAAUGGGGGCAACCCUGAGCCAGCCAUCCCGCGUGUAUGAAGAAGGCCUUCGGGUUGUAAAGUACUUUUGGCAGAGAAGCGGUAUCUGCAGAAUAAGCACCGGCUAACUACGUGCCAGCAGCCGCGGUAAUUC